rnacentral:rRNA from 1 species
UAGGGAAUCUUCCGCAAUGGACGAAAGUCUGACGGAGCAACGCCGCGUGAGUGAUGAAGGUUCUCGGAUCGUAAAGCUCUGUUGCCAGGGAAGAACACUUAGGAGAGUAACUGCUCCUGAGUUGACGGUACCUGAGAAGAAAGCCCCGGCUAACUACGUGCCAGCAGCCGCGGUAAUACGUAGGGGGCAAGCGUUGUCCGGAAUUAUUGGGCGUAAAGCGCGCGCAGGCGGCUUUGUAAGUCUGUCGUUUAAGUUCGGGGCUCAACCCCGUAUCGCGAUGGAAACUGCAAGGCUUGAGUGCAGAAGAGGAAAGUGGAAUUCCACGUGUAGCGGUGAAAUGCGUAGAGAUGUGGAGGAACACCAGUGGCGAAGGCGACUUUCUGGGCUGUAACUGACGCUGAGGCGCGAAAGCGUGGGGGAGCAAACAGGAUUAGAUACCCUGGUAGUCCACGCCGUAAACGAUGAAUGCUAGGUGUUAGGGG